rnacentral:rRNA from 1 species
GUGCACCAGGCGAGAAACCUUCACAAUGCCCGAAAGGGCGAUGAGGGGACGCUGAGUGCCCCUUCGGGGCUGUUCGGGUGCCUAAAAAGCACCCGGAGUAAGGGCUGGGUAAGACCGGUGCCAGCCGCCGCGGUAAUACCGGCAGCCCGAGUGGUGGCCGCGUUUAUUGGGCCUAACGGGUCCGUAGCCGGUCGGGUAAGUUCUUCGGGAAACCUCGCCGCUCAACGGUGAGGCUUCCGGGGAAAACUGCCCGACUUGGGACCGGGAAGGGCCGGAGGUAC